rnacentral:rRNA from 1 species
UACGGGGGGGGCAAGCGUUGUUCGGAAUUACUGGGCGUAAAGGGCUCGUAGGCGGCCAACUAAGUCAGACGUGAAAUCCCUCGGCUUAACCGGGGAACUGCGUCUGAUACUGGAUGGCUUGAGUGUGGGAGAGGGAUGCGGAAUUCCAGGUGUAGCGGUGAAAUGCGUAGAUAUCUGGAGGAACACCGGUGGCGAAGGCGGCAUUCUGGACCGAUAUUGACGCUGAGGAGCGAAAGCCAGGGGAGCAAACGGG